rnacentral:tRNA from 1 species
UCCUUGGUGGUCUAAUGGUUAAGAUUCCACACUUCCACUGCAGGGGAUUCAGGUUCGAUCCCUGGUCAAGGAA